GUAUAUAUAUAUAUUUGCGCUAUUACACGCUAUAUAACAUUAUCCAUUCUUUAACUUUUUGUAUAUGGGUGUAUAAAAAAUCAUAGCUAGAGCUUUCAAUAUUGUAAUCAUCCCUAAGCUACACAUAGUGCACAGGUGUGUGAGAGAGGUGUGAUGUGCGAUCAAGGUGUGCACAUGCCCCGGAAGGCCAGCUACAACCCUUUUCGACAUUCAUUUCAUUAAUGAUCCUUCCGCAGGUUCACCUACGGAAA
rnacentral:misc_RNA from 1 species